UGAUAAUGACAGUACCGGGAGAAUAAGCCCCGGCUAACUCCGUGCCAGCAGCCGCGGUAAUCACUAUGUGAGGCAGCAGUAGGGAAUCUUCCACAAUGGGCGAAAGCCUGAUGGAGCAACGCCGCGUGGGUGAAGAAGGUCUUCGGAUCGUAAAACCCUGUUGUUAGAGAAGAAAGUGCGUGAGAGUAACUGUUCACGUUUCGACGGUAUCUAACCAGAAAGCCACGGCUAACUACGUGCC
rnacentral:rRNA from 1 species